UUCCGGUUGAUCCUGCCGGACCUGACUGCUAUCGGAGUGGGAUUAAGCCAUGCGAGUCGAACGUCUCUCAACUGCGAGAGGCGUGGCGAACGGCUCAGUAACACGUAGCUAAUCUACCCUGAAGACGUAGAUAACCCCGGGAAACUGGGAUUAAUCCGCGAUGGGCCAAGACACCUGGAACGGGUCUUGGUUGAAAGGGAUGGGCAGGCAUGUUUUGUCCUUCUGCUUCAGGAUGGGGCUGCGGCCGAUCAGGUUGUUGGUGGGGUAAUGGCCCACCAAGCCUAUAACCGGUACGGGCUUUGAGAGAAGUAGCCCGGAGAUGGACACUGAGACAAGGGUCCAGGCCCUACGGGGCGCAGCAGGCGCGAAACCUUCGCAAUGCGCGAAAGCGCGACGAGGCUACUCCGAGUGCCGCCCGCUGAGGGUGGCUUUUCCCAGGCUUACAAAACCUGGGGAAUAAGGGGAGGGCAAGCCUGGUGUCAGCCGCCGCGGUAAUACCAGCUCCUCGAGUGGUCAGGGUGUUUAUUGGGCCUAAAGCAUCCGUAGCCUGCUCUGUAGGUCCCCUGUUAAAUUCAACGGCUUAACCGUUGAGCCGCAGAGGAUACCACAGGGCUAGGAGGCGGGAGAGGCGGACGGUAUUCCGUGGGUAGGGGUAAAAUCCUCUGAUCCACGGAGGACCACCAGUGGCGUAUGCGGUCUGCCAGAACGCGCUCGACGGUGAGGGAUGAAAGCUGGGGGAGCGAACCGGAUUAGAUACCCGGGUAGUCCCAGCUGUAAACGAUGCGAGCUAGGUGAUAGAGUGGCUAAAGGGCCAUUCUAGUGCCGCAGGAAGCCGUUAAGCUCGCCGCCUGGGGAGUACGGUCGCAGACUGAACUUAAAGGAAUUGGCGGGGGAGCACCACAGGGUGAGCCUGCGUCAUGGAAUCAACGCCGG
rnacentral:rRNA from 1 species